rnacentral:rRNA from 1 species
AUUGAACGCUGGCGGCAGGCCUAACACAUGCAAGUCGAGCGGAGCGGCGGACGGGUGAGUAAUGCCUAGGAAUCUGCCUGGUCGUGGGGGAUAACGUCCGGCAACGGGCGCUAAUACCGCAUACUCUCAGAUGAGCCUAGGUCGGAUUAGCUAGUUGGUGGGGUAAGGGCCUACCAAGGCGACGAUCCGUACCUGGUCUGAGAGGAUGAUCAGUCACACUGGAACUGAGACACGGUCCAGACUCCUACGGGAGGCAGCAGUGGGGAAUAUUGGACAAUGGGCGAAAGCCGGAUGCAGCCAUGCCGCGUGUGUGAAGAAGGCCUUAGGGUUGUAAAGUACUUUAAGUUGGGAGGCGUUACCAACAGAAGAAGCACCGGCUAACUCCGUGCCAGCAGCCGCGGUAAUAC